rnacentral:rRNA from 1 species
AGUGAACGCUGGCGGUAGGCCUAACACAUGCAAGUCGAACGGCAGCACAGUAAGAGCUUGCUCUUACGGGUGGCGAGUGGAGGACGGGUGAGGAAUACAUCGGAAUCUACUUUUUCGUGGGGGAUAACGUAGGGAAACUUACGCUAAUACCGCAUACGACCUACGGGUGAAAGCAGGGGAUCUUCGGACCUUGCGCGAUUGAAUGAGCCGAUGUCGGAUUAGCUAGUUGGCGGGGUAAAGGCCCACCAAGGCGACGAUCCGUAGCUGGUCUGAGAGGAUGAUCAGCCACACUAGAACUGAGACACGGUCCAGACUCCUACGGGAGCCAGCAGUGGGGAAUAUUGGACAAUGGGCGCAAGCCUGAUCCAGCCAUACCGCGUGGGUGAAGAAGGCCUUCGAGUUGUAAAGCCCUUUUGUUGGGAAAGAAAAGCAGCAGGUUAAUACCCCGCUGUUCUGACGGUACCCAAAGAAUAAGCACCGGCUAACUUCGUG